rnacentral:tRNA from 1 species
GUCUUUGUGGCUCAGUUCGAAGAGCGUUGGUCUCAUAUCACUACCUAAUUGAUAUGACGAGGCUUGAAGCCUGGGACAUCCAAAAGGUCGCAAGUUCGAGCCUUGCCAGGGACA